CUCCUCCCCCGUCUCCUCUCCUCCACACCCCCACCGCGCGUCCUCCUCAUGUCUUUGUGUGCGCGCGAGUCGGCGUGUGUGUGAGACGGCGAACCCCAAAAAGGCGAGAUGCGUGAAGCUGCGACUGGUCUGGCUUUGGGAUUGUUUUAAGAGGAAGGGAGAACCGGGCGGACCCACGUGAAUCUCCCGCGAACUCGAGGAGCGAGUGGACUUUACGGCACCAUCCUCUUCAUCCCUCCUCCUCCUCAGCACCAACCUUCUCCCCGAUUCCUCCACUCUGGAAUACCCCAGCAAAGCCCCCGUUUUUCAGCCGCCACACUGAACCGUUUUGGCUGGAUUGAGAGCCUCGGUAUGGAUUAGCGGAGCCGCCAAACUGGAGCAGCAAGCACGGCCGCGGCGGGGGGGAAGGGGGCGCCGGGACUCGGUGAAUUCACGGAGCCCCCGGGACAGAGGAUGUGACUGGUCUCAAUCCAAGAUGGCGUCACCGAAAAGCAAAGCCAAGAAGAAGCCUCCUAAAGACAGCAUCACACUGCUGCCAUGCUUUUACUUUGUAGAGCUUCCCAUUGUCCUGUCCUCCUUGGUGUCUCUGUACUUUCUGGAACUGACGGAUGUGUUGUCCCCGGCGAUGGUGGGCUUCCGCUGUCACGACCGGGACCUUUCCAUGCCGUACGUGGAGACAGGAGACGAGCUCAUCCCUCUGUUGAUGCUGCUGAGCCUGGCCUUUGCUGGACCUGCAGCUUCUAUCAUGAUGGGCGAGGGCUUGAUGUACUGCAUGCAGUCCAAGAUGAAGACGUGUCCCAAGUCGGAGACCAGCAUCAACGCUGGAGGCUGCAGCUUCAACUCCUUCCUGCGGAGAACCGUGCGCUUCGUGGGUGUUCAUGUGUUCGGUCUCCUAGCAACGGCCUUGGUGACAGAUGUCAUCCAGCUGGCCACGGGCUACCACACCCCCUUCUUCCUCACCGUGUGCCAGCCCAAUUACACAGCGCCGGGCGUGUCAUGUGACAACAACGCCUACAUCACACAGGACAUCUGCAUGGGCAAGGACCUGUAUGCUAUUCUGUCUGCCAGGAAAACCUUUCCAUCACAGCAUGCAACACUCUCUGGAUUCGCUGCAGUCUAUAUUUCUAUGUAUUUCAACACGUGCAUCAGCAACAGCACCAAGCUGCUCAAGCCGCUCCUGGUGUUCGCCUUCUGCAUGGCAGCGGGCCUGGCCGGGUUGACCCAGAUUACCCAGCACCGCAGUCACCCCAUAGAUGUGUACGUGGGCUACCUGAUCGGAGCCGGCAUCGGAGUCUACCUGGCUGUGUAUGCUGUGGGGAACUUCAAAUCUUCCGAAGAGGACGCUCCUCCUCUUUCCAGACUGGCGUUUGCCCACCAGAAGGACACCCUCCGGGUCUUAAGUCAGAGGGGUCAUGACUCUCUGUACAGGAAACCCCCGCGAGUGUCUGAGAGCCGGGAGGAGCUGGGGGCCCCCAUGGGCUCCGGCGCGCGCAGCAAGGUGCGCAGGGAGAAGGCUUCGCUUGCUUCUCUAAAGCGAGCCAGUGCUGACGUGGAGCUUCUGGCAACCAGGGGCCCAAUGGGGAAAGAAACCAUGGUUACCUUCAGCAACACUUUGCCCAGAGUGGCGAAUGGCAACAGUCCCAUUUCUCCAUCGGAUGAGCCAAUCAGCACACAGCGGCACAUGACUUUCCACGUGCCAUAUGACUCGCAGAGGUCGCGGCAGCUGGUGACAGAGUGGAAGCAGUGCUCGAUGGAGCUGCGUAGUCAGAGCUCCAGAGACGAGGAGGAGGAGAGGACUGAUGGCAGAGGCGAGGGAGGUGCCGCCGGGGAGGACCAGGCGAUGCCGUCCUCCCUUUACCCCACAGUGCAAGCCAACAAGGGCAGUGCCACACCCACCACCACCAGGAUGGCAAUGGCACCGCCGUUGGUUCACAUUCCAGAGGAGGCCACUCGGCCGCCGCCGGUGUCUCCAAAGAGCGCCAAAACCCGUGCCAAGUGGCUGGCACUCACCGAGGGGGGUGGGACCAAAGAGCCAGGGACAGGGCCCAUUGCUGUGUCAACUCCCCGGGUUCCCAACACACAACCAAGCCAGCCCCCGGCCCAGCAGAGGGCCACACAGGUGAUGGCCAUGUCCAAGCAGCAGAGCCUCAUCUCCUCCACUGCCAAGACCUCGGAGGGCGGCUCGUCUUCCGGCGCCGGCUCCAACUGCUCCGAGUCUCCGUACUACAAGAUCCCAUCUGACCGCGACAGCUGCACUGGCAGCAAUCCUGGCAGCAUCGGCGGCAGCGGCAGCAUCGUCACCAUUGACGCCCACGCCCCCCACCACCCGGUGGUGCGCGUGUCGGCCACCAAUGGCAAACCAUGGGAGUGGAGGAACACCAUCAGUGGACACCUGAUGAGCGCCGAGGCUGACAAGCAGAGGUCCGCGCUAACGCGGCAGGAAAAUGUGGCCCACUACAGGGACUACCGCACCCUCCCGCUCAAGUCCGACUCCAUGUCCACCUCCUCUGCUGGAGGGGAUGGAGGGUCAGCGCUACCACCUCCUCCUCUCUCCACCUCCUCUUCCCCCCUCCCUCCCCCACCUCCCCUAUCGUCCUCCCCACUUCCCCUUCACUCGUCUUCAUCCCCACUGCCACCACCACCUCUCCCAAGCUCCUCACCGAUACCUCCCCCUCACUCUUCCUCCUCCCUCAUGCCUCCACCUCCUCCUCACUCCUCUUCCUCCCACAUGCCUCCACCUCCUCCUCACCCAGCUUCCUCCCACAUGCCUCCACCUCCUCCUCACUCCUCUUCCUCCCACAUGCCUCCACCUCCUCCUCACUCCUCUUCCUCCCACAUGCCUCCACCUCCUCCUCACUCCUCCUCCACCCACAUGCCUCCACCUCCGUCUCACUCGUCCUCAACUCAUUUGCCUCCUCCCCCUCACUCCUCUUCCUCCCACAUGCCUCCUCCUUCUCAAUCGUCCUCCUCCCAGUUACCACCUCCUCCACCCUGUUCCUCCUCCACCCACAUGCCUCCUCCUCCUCCUCAUUCUUCUUCCUCACAUAUGCCUCUUCCUCCUCACUCCACUUCCCCCCACAUGCCACCUCUGCCUCCCCCUCACCCUUCAUCUUCCCACAUGCUUCCUCCUCCUCCUCCUCACUCUUCCUCCUCCCACAUGCCUCCCCCUCCUCACUCCUCCAUGUCCCACAUGCCUCCCCCUCCUCAUUCUGUCUCUCACAUGAACUCACAGUCCUCUCAAAUGCUGCCACAUCCACACCCUUCCUCGCAGAUGCCCCCACCUCCUCACCCCUCUCAAAUUCCUCCACCAUCACAACCAUCCUGUGGCACAAUGCUCCCACCGCUUCACCCGUCCUCAUCCUCCUCCUUGCUGCCACCCCCUCCCAGCUCCUCCACUAUGUCCCCGUACCCCUCUUGCUCCACCAUGCUCCCUCCUUCUCGGCACCCUGACUUACUGAUGGACGGUCAGAUGCUGUCCCGCUCGUCCACACUGCCCCGCCGCCCGUCCGGCUCUGCCCGCAGCCAUGCGGAGCAGGAGCACUACUACAAGGCUCUCCAGAAUGAGAGAAUGUUGUAGUACAAGAAUACCAUCGUCAUGAUUGUACCUCAGAAGCAAGCUAUAAGACUACGCAGCUGGACUUUGCUGAGGUCUGGAAUCCUUUUUUAUAUUUUUUCUCCCACGUGUAAACUCAAAGAGCUUGAAAGCAACUGAACAUUUUCGGGUUUUUCUAAAUCCCUUCUUCACUUCCUCCAUUUGUUUUUGAGCAGGAUAGGCGUAACACCAACAGCUGAGGGAGAGAUAUCAAACAAACCCUCCGGAAUUGAUGCGCUCUUCCUUGAGUGGAAGCGAUAAACAAAAGGACUAAUGGAAAAAUAAAUGCUUAUUAAACUAGUGCAGCUGGCUGAGCUCGCAAACACACUUCCUCUGGUGACUAAGCAGUGAAGCUGCGGGACGAUCGUUCAGCGAAAGGAGCGCAAGAGCCUUAAAUCCAUCGGCAUAAAAGAGUUGAAUUAAGGAGCACAUGAUUGCCGCCGAGCGAAUCAGUCACCGGGGACGACAUUGCACUGUAAAAAUGGAGCGGGGAGGAGCUGCUUUAAGAGCAGUCGUGCACAGUUUGCUGCUGAAUGGAUUAGCGUUGUAAACAUGAGAGAGACUUGUUCCCAGGUGGUGGGUUAGAGCCACACGAUGAUCCUGGGCGCUCUUCAUCUGAACAUCUCAACAAAUCUUUGUCCAAAGAAUAGAAAAUAACCCUGGCUAAGGAAUCAAAGUCGAGCUGAAAAGAAAAUCUGUUGGUUUUUGUACACAGAGGGAAUGAGGAAGUAAAGUACGACAGGCUGUGAAGGAUGAAGGUAAAUGUCAGAUGUUCAUCCAUGUUCAAUGAGACCAGAAUCUGAGUCUCAAUUACAAGUUAAACAUUUUCAUUUCUCUCAUGAAGUGUGAACCUCUCUGUCGUUGCUAUUUGGAACCAAAGUGUCCGCUUUCUGUGACAGGAUAUCAACGCCAGUCUUUCCACGGUGCGUUGGAGACAGACUGAUCUAAUUUGUGGCACUUCUCAUCCAGACUGACAGGAGAUAUAUUUAACUCAUUUCAUGAUUGUGAUGAAAAUCCAGCUCAGCAGAAGAUUUUCCAUGGAACCCAUUCGUUCCAUUAAUUCUUAGAGAGGUGGCGAGAAGCAUGGCCUUCAUCUGAUAAGUCUACAGCAGAAGAAAGGCUGCUGUUCGAAGUAAGUCAUUCCCUUUCAGGUUAUCUAUGGAGCUCCUUUCAUUCAACGAUACAAAGAGGAACAGAUAUGAGGUCGUUCUUCAUUCUGCUCGACUUCAGUCAAAAAUAUAUCGGUUUCAUCUUCAUUUAAAACACUUCUUAAAGUAUCUCACAUUUGAAUUUUAUCAAAUUUGCCUUCCUAGUAAAUACAAGAAUGUAAAAAUGUACAUUUAUUUAUAUGUUAUUUUAUUAUUUAUAUCCACUGCACACUUCCCCCUCUAGUGAUCAUCAUCUCACGUCCACAACAUAGAGACUCACAAAUCCAGGUUAGUCAUACUGAAAACAAAUCGUCUAAUUUAGUUUUUGAAACUGAAAAUAAGGCCAGUUUCAGCCAGUCUUUGGGGGAAACUGUGGUAUAUUCUCAACUAUGAUGAAAUAAUUUGUUCUGUUGCAGAUGUUUUGGCUUAAAAUGUAUGAUAGAAAUACUGACCAUGGAUUCCACUGAACUACAGAGUUUAUAAGCAAUAGAUAUAGCUGAGAAAAAUAUUGCUGCAGCUCAUUCUUCUCUCUCAUCCGUCUGAAGUGCUUUAUUUUCUAUUCGAAGGAAGCCACACGUGUGAAUAGCCGUGACCAUGUUUUGUAAAAGAAACCAUAAGGGAAACUGUCAAACUGUUCCGUAGCGAGCCUCCACUUGUAGUUCAGUGUUCAGUGCUGCAUGUAUGAGCGUGAUAGUUGGGACUGAGUGUAACAGCUUCUUCUUACCGAUGUUAUCAAUACUGUCGUCAUUUUCUAGUCCUUUUUUUAACGGGCUCAUGUUUUUAUAACUGUGGUGAUGUGUCAUAUUAUUAAUCUCAUUGAAUAAAUAAGGUGGACGUACGUCGUCUUUGGAAUGAAAAGGAUCUUUUCCUGUGGAUUUAUAUAUUUAUUUACACAUACCUUUGUAUUUCUAACCUUGUGGGGACAUUGUGAGGUCUUUCAUUUCAUUCACACACACACACACACACUCUAUAGAUUUCCCUUUAGUCCAGUGUCGGGUUGCCAUAAUGAAUAGUGUGAGAAUGUUGGUCCGAUGACUGCAGGGACGGAGCCAGCGUUGGCCUGAAUCUGUGUGUUUGUUGUAUGUUUUUUCUAAAAUAUGUCCAUGCUACGUGUCUGUUUCUUUGUUAUCCCGUGGCCGUGUCACAUUAACACUGACGCUGCUCUGUGUGUCAGUAACUGUCCAUUCAGCAAUGUGUCACAUUUUGGCUCAAGAGGAUUGUCACAAACGUAUUUUCCAAUCCAGACAUGUUUCACUGCUCAAAUCUGUGUGUCCCUGUGCUGUGUGUGUGUGUGUACCCCAGUGCCCGUGUGUGUGUCUUAAGCGUUGAACUGUAUGAUGAGGACGGAGAUAGUUGCAGAUGGUGCACCAAGGCCUGGGGACAGUUGGCCUGUCCAUGAGUUACAUUCGAUGAACUCACACCCCUCCUCCCCGUGCGUGUGUGUGUGUGUGAGUGAGUGUGUGUGUGUGUGUGCAUACAUGCAUGUGCCUGCAUCCCCUCCCCCCGUGGCCCAGAAAACAACAAAAAACAUGCAGAUCAAGAUACCUGUACUUGUUCAAUGUGGAGUCUGUAGGUUCCUCAGUCACACAGGAUCAAAUACAGAGGUUGGACAAAAUAAUGCAAACACCUUAAAGCUUUUUUAGCUUUUUUUUUGUCCAACCCCUGUAUCUACAGUAAAACAGAUAAAUAAAAUGGGUGAAGACAGAAAAUUCAGGUCAUAAAAAAGUGCAUCUGUCAGUCGGAAAUGUGAUGGAAUACGCCACGAUAUCGGACCCUCAACAUCUCACUCUGAAGUCUGCCUCCCACAGAUGGGGAGCUGGUGUCCUCCUGCUGUCAGUUGCUACCAAUACUCCUGACCUGCUCAUGAACUGAAGGCACUUGGGACCUCAGUCACCAAGAAAACAGGGGUCUGCAAGGUCCCCUCGCUCAGGCAAAGGUCAGAUGAAACCAGAGGUGAGCCUCCCACGCUGUAAGCAGUCUAAAGAACACCCAUCAGCCAUUGCAGAGUGGUGUUUUGGUGCUGCCUUUCAAAGCACUAGGUACCUCUUUUUCACAGGGUACUUCACUGCAUUAAGGGGCCAAUGAAUGGAGUCAUGUAAUGAAAACCUCUUCCUCAGAUGGAGAUGGACCUUCCAGCAUGGCAGUAACCCAAAACCAUCUGAGAGCGGAACAAAGGAGUGGCUUAACAAGACACAUAUUCUGGUCAUGGAGUCGCCCAAUCGACCUCCAAACAUCAACCCAAAUGGGGUGUGGGGAGCUGUUGCUUCCAGUUUCCAGGCUGCCAAGAGACUUGUGGGGGAUUGAGACGUUCCGUAAAGAGAACAGAAGCGUAAUCCCCCCGUGAGCUGUGUGCAAACCCGGUGACCGACGACAACAAAUGUCUUACCGCUGGUGCAAGCCAAAAAGGUUUUUUUUUCUUGGCUCUGGAAAUGUAAUUUUUGAUGGCGCCAGCGCCAUUUUACAGCUCUAUUCAUUUCCAAAGACAUUUUCUGCUGCCAUUCUUUGUCAGUGUGUAAAUGUAUCAGCCACUGAAUAAUCGUUUCCCAUCGAGGGUCGAGCAUCUCUCAUCUUGAUUUUCACCGGUCCCCAGAGAGCCACAAGGAUCGUUUUACAUUCUCUAUAAUCAAUAUAAAAAGUCAAUUUUCUCCAGUCCAAUACUGAUCCCAGUGAAACUUCAGUUUCAUGGGCCUCUACCUCAAACUCGCAUCUACUUUAUACCUUUCAUAUAUUUUUGUGUUUGCUUGUCACGCUCCUCGGCAGUGUUGCAUUCUUGGGUGAAGUUUUGAACAUGGCGUUCACUUUUUCCAAGGCCUGAAGUGUCUUUGAAGCUGACACCUGAGGAAAACAUGGCGUCGCUGGCGGUGAAAAGCGCUCCGUGGCGGCAGAGCCGAGCGGCAUCCAAAGAGCCAGAACACGCCAGUCACCCAGCCACUGCUGGGGGCAGAAGCUGACAUUUCUGGUCGCCACUCGCUGUUCACAGGCUGAGGAGAGAAGCAGUCCCUGGGUGAGCCCGACUGUCAAACUACCUGCCACUUCUCCCUCUGACUUUUACUGCAUAUCGACUUUGUGGAUUUAUUUUCCCUCUGAUGCUUCUUCCGCUAUGAAAUAUUCCUGCUUACUAUCUCACUCUCCGUCACGUCUGCCUGGUCGGGGGAAAUGUGCAGCCGGGUCGGGAAGCUUCCCGGCCCGACUUGCCUUGAUUUAAAGCAUCUGCAUGUUGGAAUCGAGAGGCUCAGUCUGAUACAUGUGAAAAGCACUCAGAGAGUCCAGGCCCUCGGCAUCAGCUCUCAACCAACCUUAUUGAGAGGCUGUUGGUCUCCAAUGAUAUCUCAGCAGCAGCAUGUUGGGAAGUGGUGUCAGAACAACCUGAGUUGCCAACUCUUCUUUCACAACCCUGAAAGGAUCUUUAUGAAGGUCCAAUCUAGUGAUCCAUGGAGGGGUACUGUCCCCACGGGCAAUGUGGUCUUUAGCAAGGCCCAGACUCAUGGAAGUUAGACCAAGGUCAGGGGAUCAGAUGAGCGGAAGAGGUGGAGCCGCAGCCUGUCAAUACCUGGACAGUCUGAGGCAGGCAGGAAACAAAAUGGGUGGCCUGGUUCUGGCCCGGUGGCUGGUUCGAACAGCUGCAGUAGGAGGAACACAGGUGAGAUGCUGAGAGAUUGACGCUCUCAUGGGAGGAGCAGGUGUGAAACUGUGACAUAUCUCGGCCUCCGCAUGUUGCAGUACACAUAUUCAACCACUUGGUGGGACACGUUACAAUCCUGCCUGUUGAAAAUGUUCCA